GACGAACGCUGGCGGCAGGCUUAACACAUGCAAGUCGAACGCAUCCUUCGGGGUGAGUGGCAGACGGGUGAGUAACGCGUGGGAACGUGCCCUUCAGCUCGGGAUAACCCAGGGAAACUUGGGCUAAUACCGGAUACGUGCGAGAGCAGAAAGAUUUAUCGCUGAAGGAUCGGCCCGCGUCUGAUUAGCUAGUUGGUGGGGUAAUGGCCCACCAAGGCGACGAUCAGUAGCUGGUCUGAGAGGAUGAUCAGCCACAUUGGGACGGAGACACGGCCCAAACUCCUACGGGAGGCAGCAGUGGGGAAUAUUGGGCAAUGGGCGCAAGCCUCAUCCAGCCAUGCCGCGUGAGUGAUGAAGGCCUUAGGGUUGUAAAGCUCUUUCGUCCGGGACGAUAAUGACGGUACCGGAAGAAGAAGCCCCGGCUAACUUCGUGCCAGCCGCCGCGGUAA
rnacentral:rRNA from 1 species